GGGCUUGUUGGACUCCGUUCGUCAUCGCAGAUCUAAUUGUGGGCUCAAUGUGGACCAAAUCUUGAGGUAUCAAAUCUUAACACAAAGUACCAAUCCUCUCAUGCCACCUCAUAAGCCAGCUAAGCCGGGAAGCUUGGCAUUUUUUUCAUUCCGGGAUUGGGUUGAGAACAUGAAUAGGAAGUAACAAAAGCUACAACAUCAAACAUUAAAUGGGUUCAUGCCAAACAACCAAAGAGAGAGGCGCCAUAAUUUAUUGUUGUGGUUGGUACU
rnacentral:lncRNA from 1 species